rnacentral:rRNA from 1 species
CAGAACGGGGGGCAUUGCCGUUACAUACGGCGAGUGAGCGGCAAAAGCUCAAAUUUGAAAUCUGGUACCUUCGGUGCCCGAGUUGUAAUUUGGAGAGGGCAACUUUGGGGCCGUUCCUUGUCUAUGUUCCUUGGAACAGGACGUCAUAGAGGGUGAGAAUCCCGUGUGGCGAGGAGUGCGGUUCUUUGUAAAGUGCCUUCGAAGAGUCGAGUUGUUUGGGAAUGCAGCUCUAAGUGGGUGGUAAAUUCCAUCUAAAGCUAAAUAUUGGCGAGAGACCGAUAGCGAACAAGUACAGUGAUGGAAAGAUGAAAAGAACUUUGAAAAGAGAGUGAAAAAGUACGUGAAAUUGUUGAAAGGGAAGGGCAUUUGAUCAGACAUGGUGUUUUGUGCCCUCUGCUCCUUGUGGGUAGGGGAAUCUCGCAUUUCACUGGGCCAGCAUCAGUUUUGGUGGCAGGAUAAAUCCAUAGGAAUGUAGCUUGCCUCGGUAAGUAUUAUAGCCUGUGGGAAUACUGCCAGCUGGGACUGAGGACUGCGACGUAAGUCAAGGAUGCUGGCAUAAUGGUUAUAUGCCGCCCGUCUUGAACCACGGACC